GCCCCUCCCGGCAGGGGCUUCCUCCCGCCGCCGUGGGAGUGCCGCUCGUCCCGGGCUCCUUGUCCAGCCUCCCGCGGCGUGCCGUCCCGUAACGGCUUCGGCUCCCAGACCCCGUUCUGCCCCUGGAGGCCUCGCUCCAGGAGUUUCUAACUCAGUGUAGGUUUCUGCGUCUCUGCUGCUAUUCCAGGCGUCCUAAGCCCCUUAAUUCGUUCUUCCCAGCGCCUGUCAUUGUGCUCUUCUGUCCUAAAUAUAGGGUAGUAUGCCAACGGGAGAAGCUCGAGAGCGAGCCGAAGCGCCGGGAACGCCGCUGGUCGCUCAGAGAGGCGGUCAGCAAAGCGUCGCCGCUCCCAGGUCACGCUGGCUGUCCUCGUGCUGCAGGAAUUCCUGCGUCUUUCUUCGGGACCUGGCACGAAUUCUUGAACAACGAGGUGCUGGUGUGCAGGACGUGCCUGAAGCUUGCUGCUAGGUCGAGCACUGUUUGCAGCAGGCGGAGCAGCGCUGCUAAUCCGCUCCCCUCUCCUGUCUCUUACUGCCCGGUGUGCUGGGCUCGGCUACCACAGGAGAUGGAGCUGGACCCUUGGCAGGUACGGCGAGACCCCCAAGCGCUUGCGCUGUGAAAUGCAUGGCUGGAAUUGGCUCAAACCUGGCCGUAACUUAUCUUCCACGGGCGGCUGCUUUAGAGGAAUCCUCGCGUGUCUCCAGCCUUCAGAGUUAGGCCCUGGCAGCGAGGGAGGAUGUCGGGGGGAGCGCUGCGCCCUGCUCCGCGUGCACGGGGAAGCUGACGGUCGCAGCUGUGAGGAGAGGGGCUUCGGUGCUUUGCGCUGACCCCCAGGUCCCCCGGCAGGAGCAACGUGGCACAGCAGCAGGAGUGUUGCCUCGCUGCCUUUUCCGUGCUCCGGGGAGAAAUAAGGUGGGGUUGUCCUGGAGGGGGGCCGCUGUGCUGUGCCAGCCCAGGAGGAGCUGUGGCCGGCUCCUUUCGGCAGUGACUGCAAGUUUCAUUGCAGGGGUGAUUUUGGGUGGCUUGUGCCUUCCCUCCUGUGAGCUGAGGAAUAAUACGGAGGAAUUAAUUCCGGUAAUGGUUAAUUUGAACAAGGAAAAUGCAAACUCAAAGUUCUCCUUGGGCAAGCAGCAGUUGUGUAAAUAAAUGUCUCUGGCAUUCUUUGUGGUGCUCGUAG
rnacentral:lncRNA from 1 species